CCUGGAUUUUUAUUUUGCAAAGAACAGGUACGAGGUUGCAAUGAUGGUCAAACUCUUCUUAUGAAGGAGAUGAGUACAAGCGAUGGUACAAUUGUCUUCUGCAUGAAAUAAAGAACCUACCAAGGAUGAAACCAGCACUCCAUUUGUGUCAGCCAAUCUUACGUUGCAGGUUUGCAAUAUGCGGAGUUGCAUAUGAGAUUGUCUAUGCUAUACAAUCUCAAGAUAAGAAACCUGUUGAUGUGACGAAAGGGAUGAAUUCGAUAUCAGAAAGAGGUG